rnacentral:rRNA from 1 species
UGGGGAAUUUUGGACAAUGGGGGAAACCCUGAUCCAGCCAUCCCGCGUGUGCGAUGAAGGCCUUCGGGUUGUAAAGCACUUUUGGCAGGAAAGAAACGUCGCGGGUUAAUACCCCCGCGGAACUGACGGUACCUGCAGAAUAAGCACCGGCUAACUACGUGCCAGCAGCCGCGGUAAUACGUAGGGUGCAAGCGUUAAUCGGAAUUACUGGGCGUAAAGCGUGCGCAGGCGGUUCGGAAAGAAAGAUGUGAAAUCCCAGAGCUUAACUUUGGAACUGCAUUUUUUAACUACCGGGCUAGAGUGUGUCAGAGGGAGGUGGAAUUCCGCGUGUAGCAGUGAAAUGCGUAGAUAUGCGGAGGAACACCGAUGGCGAAGGCAGCCUCCUGGGAUAACACUGACGCUCAUGCACGAAAGCGUGGGGAGCAAACAGGAUUAGAUACCCUGGUAGUCCACGCCCUAAACGAUGUCAACUAGCUGUUGGGGUCUUCGGACCUUGGUAGCGCAGCUAACGCGUGAAGUUGACCGCCCUGGGGAGUNCGGUCGCAAGAUUAAAACUUAAAU